rnacentral:rRNA from 1 species
CCUACGGGAGGCAGCAGUGGGGGAUAUUGCACAAUGGGGGAAACCCUGAUGCAGCGACGCCGCGUGUGGGAAGACGGUCCUCUGGAUUGUAAACCACUGUCCCCAGGGACGAAGAUGACGGUACCUGGGGAGGAAGCUCCGGCUAACUACGUGCCAGCAGCAGCGGUAAUCCGUAGGGAGCGAGCGUUGUCCGGAAGUACUGGGUGUAAAGGGAGCGUAGGCGGGACUGCAAGUUGGGUGGCAAAUCUACCGGCUCAACCGGUAGCCGCACUCAAAACUGCAGUGCUUGAGUGAAGUAGAGGCAGGCGGAAUUCCUAGUGUAGCGGUGAAAUGCGUAGAUAUUAGGAGGAAUACCAGUGGCGAAGGCGGCCUGCUGGGCUUUUACUGACGCUGAGGCUCGAAAGUGUGGGGAGCAAACAGGAUUAGAUACCCCAGUAGUC